rnacentral:lncRNA from 1 species
AGCAACAAAACGCGUCAGAACAUCGGGGAAGCAAUUACUCGACGCCUUUUUGAUAACUUUUAUAUACUUAUGAUACCUUUUUUGAUACCUUUUAUAUACUCACUGCUUUACUGAGCUAAAGACAAUUUUAUUUAUGGCGUCUCUCGAGCACAACAGUUUUAAACAACUAAAAUAUACAGUAUAGUCUAAAUCCCAUGUACAGAAAAUACAUCGAUGACAGAAAUAAUACCACAUUGUUAUAUGAAGUGCAGACACAGCGGUAAUCUUUCUCGCGCGGUUCUCUGUAGAGUGAAGGCAAUCUUGCCACCAAGCAAGUUGUGUUUCUGCAGUGAACAGUAAGAACUCAACCGGUACCACAGAAGAACCAGGUAGAAACCAGAAGAAAACACCCAGAUUAAAGUUUUAGGACACGAGCUUCUGUUUUUUCCAGUGCAAACCACACAAACAAAUUGAGAAUCACAAAAACAAAUUGAGAAUCACAAAAACAAAAGGAGAAUCACAAAAACAAAUUGAGAAUCACAAUUACAUUAAGAAACCAGAAAGGCCAAGGGUUUCAGUACAAAAUAUUUUGAAUGGAACUAAAAGAAUGGAACUGAACUACAUUCACAAAUCUGUAAGCCAAGGACUAGUGCCAAGGACUAGCACCAACCAAGGAAAAUGUGCAAUCCUGCUGGAGACCUUCUCACAAGGAAAUGCUGCUGCAUGUGGCCAACUAAAGACAUGGGGCUUUAAGGGUCUUAAUUACACAUUAAACUGACUUAGGCUGUAAAAUAUAGUGCCUGAGAAGGAAAGUCAAGUCAGCUUUAUUGUCAAUUCUGCCACAUGUACAGGACAUGCAGAGAAUUGAAAUUAUGUUACUCUCUGACCCAUACAAGUAACAUUAAAUACAAAAACAGUAACAGUAACAUUGAAUACAAAGUAUAAAUACAAUAAAAAAAAAAAACACAAUUUACA